CAGUAUUAGAUAAGAGGACAAUGACAGUAUGAAGCUAGAACCACUGUGUGCAGUAUUAGAUAAGAGGACAAUGACAGUAUGAAGGUAGAACCACUGUGUGCCGUAUUAGAUAAGAGGACAAUGACAGUAUGAAGGUAGAACCACUGUGUGCAGUAUUAGAUAAGAGGACAAUGACAGUAUGAAGCUAGAACCACUGUGUGCAGUAUUAGAUAAGAGGACAAUGACAGUAUGAAGGUAGAACCACUGUGUGCCGUAUUAGAUAAGAGGACAAUGACAGUAUGAAGGUAGAACCACUGUGUGCAGUAUUAGAUAAGAGGACAAUGACAGU
rnacentral:lncRNA from 1 species